CGGACGGGGGAGUAAUGUCUGGGAAACUGCCUGAUGGAGGGGGGUAACUACUGGAAACGGUAGCUAAUACCGCAUAACGUCGCAAGACCAAGAGGGGGACCUUCGGGCCUCUUGCCAUCGGAUGUGCCCAGAUGGGAUUAGCUAGUAGGUGGGGUAACGGCUCACCUAGGCGACGAUCCCUAGCUGGUCUGAGAGGAUGACCAGCCACACUGGAACUGAGACACGGUCCAG
rnacentral:rRNA from 1 species